CUUAGUGUAUUUAUAAAUGUAGGUAGUGUUUAUGUUGACGGUUGAACGACUUGUCUGAAAGUACUUGACAGAAGUGCAUUGUGAAACUCAGAGUAAAGAAGUGAAAGCGGGCACAUGCUUAAUUCUGUUUGGAAUUUGUGCCGCGCUUGCCCCAUAACUACAGACGAAAAGUUACCUACAGAGUACAAGAAUAAGUUUUCGUUUCUCCAAGACCAUCAACUCGCAUCCUAUGAGGUUCUUAGGAAACCUCCAGAAAGUGAUUCAACAAUGGAACCAGCUUUGCCUCGACGAAAGAAAUACCCUGAAGUAGCUUACAAGACCCAUGAAGUCUUGCCAUUUGAUUACAGCAAUGUUGAUGAGGCUCUUGAUGUGCUGAAUAGCAUAGGUGAAAAUGGAGGUGCCCUUUCUGAACAGGAUAUCUUGAGAGCUAGGUCAACAGAACGAAAGCACAAAACUUCAUCUAGGAGUCGAUCUGCUGGGCCAACCUAUGGACGAUUUAACCCACAUCCUCUGAUGAUUCAAAGUUAUCCCCCACCUCGUCCCCGGAUGAAUCCCAUCAUCAGGGAAGAGGAAAAAGGUGUCUUUACUGAGUAUCGGUCACAAUUUACUUGGCCUCGUGGACAAGCAGUUUCAAUGGUUCCAGUAGCCCGAAGGUUUGUCUCUACUGGCUUGACCCCUGCCCAGCCAUCAAAGAGAACAACACGAGAUAAGUCUGUAUCUAGAACCAGUUUGAAAUAUCAAGUCCCAUCAGUCAGGACAGAAUCAGAACAGCGAGACACAACUGUGAUCAGGAGAGGUUCCAAGAAAACAGAAUACAAAGCAAAGUAUCGACCAUUCUCAGCUUACCAGUACAUAGAUGGAAGUUGGAGAAAGUCUCCCAAACAAAAGGAAGGUGACAUUCGACAUUCUUCUGGUGAAACUGCUUGGUAUAAUGAAGUUACAGAGAGAUUGAAGAAAGCUGAUGAGUAUCGUCAGCGUUCAAAUGGUACCCCUUUAUAUGGAGACAAAACUUCUGCUGUAGACAGUCGGCGUGGGGACUUCUGGAGCCAAGAAAAACAAGAAGGAUUAACUCCAUUUCUAGCGUAUGGAGGUAGUCUUAGAGAGACACAUGUUGAAGGAAAGUGCUCAUUACGACCAGCUACAGCCCCACCUGUCCACCGUAAAGAAAAAAAGCCUUUAAAAGUAGACACAGUAUAUGCUCGUCGUCCAGCGAGUGCUGACUAUGGAAAAAUCACAAUUCCUACACCCCCUCAGGAGAGAAGAAAAUCUACACCCCCUCAAGAGAGAAGAAAACCUGUAGACACAAAGCAUGAAGCCAAACCAGUCAUAGGUGCUAUUUUACCUUCUGCUGGCCUGACAAUGCGACGACAGAAACGGCCCCCAUCUCAGGCAAAGUCAACUAAAGUUAGACCCGUGUCGAUGGAUUCAUCCACAGUUAGCUUGUCAGAGAAGGAGAAAAGGUCUCCUUACAGACAGCCUAAACCUAAAGUAUCCCAGCGCCCAUUGAGUCAAGAACAUGGAAAACCUGGUAGUCCUAGGGAACCCAAAAAAAAGUCCAUACGACCAGUGUCAGCAUCUUUUAGUCCCCGUUCUAGACUCAAACCUGUGUCAAAAACAGUAGAUGUUACUCCACCCUCUGAUACUCAACCUCGAACUUCAACAAGAACGUCUAAGUUGGGAAUGACUAAUGGUGAUGAAGGACAUAUAUGGUUGAAGUCAUCAGCUAAUGAUACUUCUAAGAAAGAAAAGGAAAAAUUAAAUGAGGUCAUAGCUAAGAAAGAUAUAGAGAAACAGGAUGGGGAAAAGAAACUAGAAUCAACUGAAUCUGCAAAUGGGGAACUAUUUGAUGGAAUUGAUGAGACAAUGGUUCCUUCACCACCUGUGCAAAAAAAUGAAUCUCAGAGAAGAAGAGAAGAUAAACUAAGAGGAUCUUUUACUCCAAAAAUGCCCUCUGCUGUUAAAGAUGUGGUUUUGCCAUCACUUAAUGGGAAGAGAGAGACUAUACAACCAAUAAGCGUAAUAGCUGUGAAUGGGGUGGCUAAUGGAAAAGAGACAUCAGACAGAGAAAAAGCCACAAGUCCGCCAAUUCUUGUAACUUCUCUUAGCUCAAUCCUUGAACCACCAAGUAGAACUAAGGCUGCAUUAGGGGGGAAACAGUCUGAGAUGAUGGUGACUCAGAAGUACCCUACAGGUCGAGCUGAAGCCAUGUUUGCAGAGAAACCUCCAGCUGUGUGUCCUGAGAUGAUGACUUUUCGACCAAGAGGUGUUAAAGGUCACAAAAAAACUCCUUCCAUGUCUGAGAUGAUUCCUCAUCACAAGAGUGUUUCAAGAACUGAAGAAGAUGCUGAGACUACUAUGUUGCCAAAUUGAGGUAUGCUGAGACUACUAUGUUGUCGCAUUGAGGUAUGCUGAGACUACUAUGUUGCCACAUUGAGGUAUGCUGAGACUACUAUGUUGCCACAUUGAGUAAUGCCCAGAAUGUCUCGGGGACCAGAUGAUAUUCCACCUGUGCAUAGUAUAUCUCCUUCUACUCGAAGAUCUUUAGCAU
rnacentral:misc_RNA from 1 species